rnacentral:rRNA from 1 species
GAUGAACGCUGGCGGCGUGCCUAAUACAUGCAAGUCGAGCGAACGGACGAGAAGCUUGCUUCUCUGAUGUUAGCGGCGGACGGGUGAGUAACACGUGGAUAACCUACCUAUAAGACUGGGAUAACUUCGGGAAACCGUAGCUAAUACCGGAUAAUAUUUUGAACCGCAUGGUUCAAAAGUGAAAGACGGUCUUGCUGUCACUUAUAGAUGGAUCCGCGCUGCAUUAGCUAGUUGGUAAGGUAACGGCUUACCAAGGCAACGAUGCAUAGCCGACCUGAGAGGGUGAUCGGCCACACUGGAACUGAGACACGGUCCAGACUCCUACGGGAGGCAGCAGUAGGGAAUCUUCCGCCAUGGGCGCAAGCCUGACGGAGCAACGCCGCGUGAGUGAUGAAGAUCUUCGGAUCGUAAAGCUCUGUUAUUAGCGAAGAACAUAUGUGUAAGUAACUGUGCACAUCUUGACGUUACCUAAUCAGAAAGCCCCGGCUAACUACGUG